rnacentral:piRNA from 1 species
UAACGACGUGUGCCUGGGCUCUUGCU